rnacentral:tRNA from 1 species
UAGUAGUAUUAGUACAUGUAGUACUAGUAAUACUAGUACUACUAGUAAUAGUAGUACAAACUAGUAGUACGUACUAGUCUUACUGGUACUAA